rnacentral:rRNA from 1 species
GAUGAACGCUGGCGGCGUGCCUAAUACAUGCAAGUCGAGCGAACGGACGAGAAGCUUGCUUCUCUGAUGUUAGCGGCGGACGGGUGAGUAACACGUGGAUAACCUACCUAUAAGACUGGGAUAACUUCGGGAAACCGGAGCUAAUACCGGAUAAUAUUUUGAACCGCAUGGUUCAAAAGUGAAAGACGGUCUUGCUGUCACUUAUAGAUGGAUCCGCGCUGCAUUAGCUAGUUGGUAAGGUAACGGCUUACCAAGGCAACGAUGCAUAGCCGACCUGAGAGGGUGAUCGGCCACACUGGAACUGAGACACGGUCCAGACUCCUACGGGAGGCAGCAGUAGGGAAUCUUCCGCAAUGGGCGAAAGCCUGACGGAGCAACGCCGCGUGAGUGAUGAAGGUCUUCGGAUCGUAAAACUCUGUUAUUAGGGAAGAACAUAUGUGUAAGUAACUGUGCACAUCUUGGCGGUACCUAAUCAGAAAGCCACGGCUAACUACAU